rnacentral:tRNA from 1 species
GAGAGUGUAGCUCAAUUGGUCAGAGCGCCAGGUUGUGGCCCUGGAGGUCGGGAGUUCGAAUCUCCUCACUCUCCCCA